rnacentral:snoRNA from 1 species
GAGGUCUAGGAAAAGCUGAUCAUUGUGAGUACACCCAGUAAGGAGGACAACACCAGAUCACAAAUACUGGGGUGGAUCUCUUUCUUACUGUCCAUUGUCCUUUGUCUUAAGAUUUGGUAGAAUAUUA